rnacentral:rRNA from 1 species
CAAUAGCGUAUAUUUAAGUUGUUGCAGUUAAAAAGCUCGUAGUUGGAUUUCGGGUUGGCUUCAGCGGUCUCGCUUUGCGUUUGUACUGCUGCAGCCUACCUUCUUGUCGGGGACGGGCCUUCGGGCUUAAUUGCUUGGGGCCCGGAGUCGACGAUGUUACUUUGAGUAAAUUAGAGUGUUCAAAUCAAGCCUACGCUCUGAAUAUAAUAGCAUGGGAUAACACGACAGGACUCUGGCCUAUCGUGUUGGUCUGUAGGACCAGAGUAAUGAUUAAGAGGGACAGUCGGGGGCAUUCGUAUUCCGUUGUCAGAGGUGAAAUUCUUGGAUUUACGGAAGACGAACAUCUGCGAAAGCAUUUGCCAAGGAUGUUUUCAUUGA